rnacentral:rRNA from 1 species
UAGGGAAUCUUCGGCAAUGGACGAAAGUCUGACCGAGCAACGCCGCGUGAGUGAAGAAGGUUUUCGGAUCGUAAAACUCUGUUGUUAGAGAAGAACAAGGACGUUAGUAACUGAACGUCCCCUGACGGUAUCUAACCAGAAAGCCACGGCUAACUACGUGCCAGCAGCCGCGGUAAUACGUAGGUGGCAAGCGUUUUCCGGAUUUAUUGGGCGUAAAGCGAGCGCAGGCGGUUUCUUAAGUCUGAUGUGAAAGCCCCCGGCUCAACCGGGGAGGGUCAUUGGAAACUGGGAGACUUGAGUGCAGAAGAGGAGAGUGGAAUUCCAUGUGUAGCGGUGAAAUGCGUAGAUAUAUGGAGGAACACCAGUGGCGAAGGCGGCUCUCUGGUCUGUAACUGACGCUGAGGCUCGAAAGCGUGGGGAGCAAACAGG